rnacentral:lncRNA from 1 species
CUCAACCAAUAGAACAUGGCAAUUAUGACAUGGCCAUUUUGUGCUCCUGGCCCUGAAGAUCUAGGCAGCUUCAACUUCCUCUCUUUUGGUAUACCUCCUUGCCUGUCUAGCAGCCAUGGAAAGAGCCAUGAAGAGACAUGAAGUCUCCCCAGCCCAAAGCCUGUGCUGAGCUCCCAGUUACAGCCAGUGCCAACUGUAUGCCAACAAGCCGUGUGUGUCAACCUUGAAAAUGGGCUCCUCCUCCUCCACUCUACCUGCCUGAAAGGAUGCCUUAUAUAGCAAAAAAGGCCUGUCCCUCCUUAACCCUAUACGGAUUGCAGAUUUGUGAGUGAAAUAAAUAUCUUUUGCUGUUUCAGGCCACUAAAUUUUGGGAUAGUUUUUAUUCAGCAAUGGUAACUGAAACAGCUGUUGGUGCUGGAAUAUUGUGUGAGAUAGAGGAUAUUUUUGUGGCCAUUUUGGACAAUACCAGUCUGCUACAACUUGUGUUAACUUGUGUAAUCAUCACAAUAUUCAUAUGAGAGAGGUUAUUAUCCCUAUUUUACAGAUCAGAAAACAAUCGCAGUACCAAGGAGAGAAAGCUAGGACAUCAUAGUGCUGAGAUGUGGGCCAAGGCAGUAUGGACUCAAAGCUCAUGUUUCUGGUUCUAAUACAUUAUUGUCUUUUAUAAGUCUCUGGGAGUUAAGAGACCAGUUCAUAAACGUCAAGAGUUAUGAGAGAUCAGGGAGGAUGGCCAUGGAACAGUGAGAAUGAUGGGAAACUACCACACCCACAGCCACAUCAGGAAAACCCACCUGCAGAACCAGAAGAGCCACAGGUCACAUCCAAGUUGGCUGUGCCUCCAACUGUCUGUAUCAGAUGGAUAAUGGGGAUGACUCCUCCCUGUGCCUGGAUCAUAGAGGCUGGCACAGGCCAUGGGGAAGCUGCUAACCGUCUGGCAUCCUCCUGCAAAUAAGAUCUUCAUGAAAAUCCAGAGCCCUUUCAUGCCUCAAGAGUCCAGUUAAGUGUUAUUUUCAAUUUCCUCCUGUAUUUCAUCAAUAAAAAAGGAACAAUAAAUGACCA